rnacentral:lncRNA from 1 species
UUUUUUUCGCCAUUGUAGAGGGCCAUCAAUAGCUUGGUGAUCUCUGCGUUGUCUUUUCCCCAGUUCCUCAACUUAUGGUUCUUUCCCAAAUAUGAUAUUGACAUUCUCAACUUGUCUUAAGACAUCUGUUCCUGAUAUUGUCAAAGGAGAAUUUCUAUUUUCCACACUUCCAUCAAAAUGAAUGCGGGCUAAUCUAAAUUUGUGUCUUGCAUUUAACCAACGUCGAUGAUUCAUGAAACAAAAUUUACCCU